rnacentral:rRNA from 1 species
AUUUUGGACAAUGGGGGCAACCCUGAUCCAGCAAUGCCGCGUGUGUGAAGAAGGCCUUCGGGUUGUAAAGCACUUUUGUUCGGAAAGAAAUCCCUUGGGAUAAUACCUCGAGGGGAUGACGGUACCGGAAGAAUAAGCACCGGCUAACUACGUGCCAGCAGCCGCGGUAAUACGUAGGGUGCAAGCGUUAAUCGGAAUUACUGGGCGUAAAGCGUGCGCAGGCGGUUGUGCAAGACAGAUGUGAAAUCCCCGGGCUUAACCUGGGAACUGCAUUUGUGACUGCACGGCUAGAGUGUGUCAGAGGGAGGUAGAAUUCCACGUGUAGCAGUGAAAUGCGUAGAUAUGUGGAGGAAUACCGAUGGCGAAGGCAGCCUCCUGGGAUAACACUGACGCUCAUGCACGAAAGCGUGGGGAGCAAACAGG